GCAGACACAUUCCAGCCAAUCAGCAGCAGACCCUCCCUCCCAGACCCUCCCACCUCCUGGACAGCAUCCAUUUUACAUUCAUUGUGAAGCUGCAUUCUUAGUGAGCUGUCCAGGAGGUGGGAGGGUCUGGGAGGGAGGGUCUGCUGCUGAUUGGCUGGAAUGGGUCUG
rnacentral:miRNA from 1 species